rnacentral:tRNA from 1 species
GGAUCUGUGCCUGAAUUUUAUAGGGUCACUUUGAUAGAGUGAAUCAUGGGGGUUAGAAUNCCCCCGAAUCCU